CCUACGGGUGGCAGCAGUGAGGAAUAUUGGUCAAUGGGCGGAAGCCUGAACCAGCCAAGCAGCGUGCAGGAUGACGGCCCUACGGGUUGUAAACUGCUUUUAUACGGGAAUAACGCGCCUUACGUGUAGGGCUCUGCAUGUACCGUAUGAAUAAGGACCGGCUAAUUCCGUGCCAGCAGCCGCGGUAAUACGGAGGGUCCGGGCGUUAUCCGGAUUUAUUGGGUUUAAAGGGAGCGUAGGCGGCAUGUCAAGCGUGCUGUGAAAUGUCCGGGCUCAACCCGGGCCGUGCAGCGCGAACUGGCGGUCUAGAGUGCGCGGAAGGCAGGCGGAAUUCGUGGUGUAGCGGUGAAAUGCUUAGAUAUGACGAAGAACCCCGAUUGCGAAGGCAGCUUGCUGCAGCGGAACUGACGCUGAGGCUCGAAAGCGCGGGUAGCGAACAGGAUUAGAUACCCGGGUAGUC
rnacentral:rRNA from 1 species